rnacentral:rRNA from 1 species
CGCGUAGGCGGUCUGUUAAGUGUGAAGUGAAAUCCCCCGGCUCAACCGGGGACGUGCUUUGCAUACUGGUGGACUUGAGUCCGAGAGGGGGUGGUGGGAUUCCUGGUGUAGGGGUGAAAUCCGUAGAGAUCAGGAGGAACACCGUUGGCGAAGGCGGCCACCUGGAUCGGUACUGACGCUGAGGCGCGAAAGCGUGGGGAGCAAACA